rnacentral:rRNA from 1 species
CGCAUACCGUGGUAACAGAGCCUGAUUAUGCCUGAUUGAACGCUGGCGGAUGCCAUACAUGCAAGUCGAACGGCAGCACGGACUUCGAACGGCGGGCGAGAGCAGAACGGGUGAGUACGUAUCGAACGCCUAGUAGCGGGGGAUAACUACGCGAAAGCGUAGCUAAUACCGGCAUUAAUACCCUUCGGGGGAAAGCGGGGACCUUCGGGCCUCGCACUAUUAGGAGCGGCCGAUAUCGGAUUAGCUAGUUGGUGGGGUAACGGCUCACCAAGGCGACGAUCCGUAGCUGGUUUGAGAGGACGACCAGCCACGACUGGGACUGACACGGCCCAGACUGCAUGGGAGGCAGCAGUGGGGUUCUGACAAUGGGGGAAACCCCGAUCCAGCCAUCUCCGCGUGUGCGAUGAAGGCUUCGGGUUGUAAAGUGUUCUUUGGCAGGAAGAUACGGCACGGAUAAAUCGCGCAACUGACGGUACCUGCAGAAUAUACCCGGCUAACUACGUGCCAGCAGCCGCGGUAAUACGUAGGGUGCAAGCGUUAAUCGGGCCUUCACGGCGCAGGCGCAGGCGGUUCGGAAAGAAAGAUGAAAUCCUGGAGCUUAACUUUGAACCGCAUUUUUAACUACCGAGCUAGAGUGUGCCAGAGGUAUGUGGAAUUCCAUGUAGCAGUGAAAUGCGUAGAUAUGCGGAGGAACACCGAUGGCGAAGGCAGCUUCCUGGAUAAACACCGACUAUGAAUGAAAGCGUGGGGAGCAAACAGGAUUAGAGCACCUGCAGUCCACGCUCCUAAACGAUGUCAAACGACGGUUGGGCCUGGGCCUUGGCGCGCAGCUAACGCGUGAAGUUGACCGCCUGGGGAGUACGGUCGCAAGAUUAAACCCAAAGGAAUUGACGGGGACCCGCACAAGCGGUGGAUGAUGUGGAUUAAUUCGAUGCAACGCGAAAAACCUUACCUACCCUUGACAUGUCUGGAAUCCCGAAGAGAUUUGGGAGUGCUCGCAAGAGAACCGGAACACAGGUGCUGCAUGGCUGUCGUCAGUCGCAAAGCCGUGAUGUUGGGUUAAGUCCCGCAACGAGCGGCAACCCUUUAGUCAUUAGUUGCUACGAAAGGGCACUCUAAUGAGACUGCCGGUGACAAACCGGAGGAAGGUGGGGAUGACGUCAAGUCCUCAUGGCCCUUAUGGGUAGGCUUCACACGUCAUACAAUGGUCGGGACAGAGGGUCGCCAACCCGCGAGGGGGAGCCAAUCCCAGAAACCCGAUCGUAGUCCGGAUCGCAGUCUGCAACUCGGGAUUGCGUGAAGUCGGAAUCGCUAGUAAUCGCGGAUCAGCAUGUCGCGGUGAAUACGUUCCCGGGUCUUGUACACACCGCCCGUCACACCAUGGGAGUGGGUUUUACCAGAAGUAGCGGUAGGCCUAACCGUAAGGAGGGCGAUUACCACGGUAGGAUUCAUGACUGGGGUGAAGUCGUAACAAGGUAA